UACGGUAGGGGCAAGCGUUGUCCGGAAUCAUUGGGCGUAAAGCGCACGUAGGCGGUUCGUUAUGUCGGAUGUGAAAGCCCUUGGCUUAACCGAGGAAGUGCAUCCGAAACUGGCGAGCUAGAGUACGAAAGAGGAUCGCGGAAUUCCCGGUGUAGAGGUGAAAUUCGUAGAUAUCGGGAGGAACACCGGUGGCGAAGGCGGCGACCUGGUCCAUGACUGACGCUGAGGCGCGAAAGCGUGGGGAGCAAACAGG
rnacentral:rRNA from 1 species